AUUUUCACAAUAUCGUAUACUGUCACUGUUGUGGUUAACAAAAAAAAAAAAAAAAAAUAAAUUUUACGACUGCCGUAAAACGAAUAAAUGAAAUAUAUUUUAUUGCUAUGUUAAGAUCAAGUAGAAGAGGUUAGGACGACACGUUCGAGUUCGAGGUUAGUCGCGAAUGCGAUAACUCUAAAGACACGCACGAUACUCACGACGUCCGGCGCGAGAAUGAGCGGAGGAGCGCUGACUGGGCGGUUGUCGCCGGUGUUGGGGAUGGCGGCGGCGCGCUGUUGCCUGGGCAUAGGUGGGGGAAGCCGACAGCGCCACUGUUAACUCGUACGAGAAGGGAGUGGGGGGUAGGAGCGAGGAAGGGUCCACGGAGGUCUCCUAAGAGUGGGGGGAGAAACGCGGACUAAGGGAGGUAGGGAAGAGGAUAUAACGUUCAGUGCCGUAACAAAAGGCUUUGUAUCCCAAAGUCCGAAUUUUAUUUUUUUUUCUUCUCUAUCUUUUUCCUUCACUUUUCUUUUCAUCGUUGCAUCGAUGGAACCAACGAUCCUCCUCUACAGCGUUUCGACUUCCUUUCUUCGUAGGAUAGAUCGUUUAUCGUCGUAAUAUCGAAUUAAAGAAGAGGUUAACGUGCCGAUUACGAGAGAAAGCAAUUCGGUUUUGUCGUUGGAUGCAACGUGUGAGAUCGGAAGGAAUACAUCGAGGGACCAGAAGAGAGACCACCAGCCGGGCCAGUUAACAGCCAACCAAGCCAGUCAGCCAUCUAGUCAGCCAGCCAGUUCAGUAAGCCAGCCAGCCAGCCAGCAAGCCAGCCAGCGUGUCUCUCGUCUUUUUCACGUGUUCGAGGUGUUACCGAAGGAUUUGAAAUAAAAAGAAAAGAGAAAAGAAAAAAAAGAUCGUUUCUUCAUAGUGAAAGAAAGCGAAAACGCGUGAACGACGCGCGAAGAAAGAAGAUGAAGCUUAAGUAGGAAGUAAUAAAUAGAUUUAGGCAACCGUUUUCAAAUGAGGACAAUGCGCGACAAUUGAAAAUUAUGUUUCGUUCGCUUAAUCGAAUUAAAAAAAAAAAAUAUUAUAAAUAAUUAAAUAAAUAAGAAAUAAGCUAACGAAGAAAUGGGAAAAUGAAAAGAGGAAGAAGAGGAGGAGGAGGAGGAGGAAGAGGAAGAAGGAGGAAGAGGAAGAAGAAUAAGAAAUUGAAGAAAAUACGUUAGUGCGGCCACGCUCGGCGACGCUUUACGAGAUCCCCGAGCGAUAACAUUAAAUAUGGCCCCGUUUAUUUAUCACUCAAGAGUCCAGUUUGUUUUAGAAAUACUCGGGAUUGCGUGUAUACAUAUAAUGCCUACAUCUGUUGGCCCAGAUAAGGAGAGAUGGGAAUGUAAAGGAGUGGAAAGAGAAAAGGGGGAAGUAAUAGAGAGAGAGAGAGAGAGAGAGAGAGAGAAAAGAAAGAAAGAAAGAGUGGGGGAGACUAACGAGAAAAGAGAUAGAAAAAGAGAGAGAGAAAGAGAGAGACAUGAAGAAGAGGGAGAAAAAAGAGAGUCAUGGAUGGAGGGAGAGAUUAGUCAUGUUUCAUUAUUAAUACCACGCUUGCUUGAACGUCGUUCGAGCAAGGUUUAUCUUGUAUAUGCGAUACGAUUUUUAAAGGCUAUAGAGAUAUCAUAAACCUUUCAGUUUCGUUCUCUCUCUCUCUCUCUCUCUCUCUCUCUCUCUCUCUCUCUCUCUCUCUCUCUCUUUCUCUCUUUUUCUCUUUCCUUUA